rnacentral:rRNA from 1 species
UACGGGGGGAGCAAGCGUUGUCCGGAUUUACUGGGCGUAAAGCGCGUGUAGGCGGAGACGAAAGUCCGGUGUGAAAGCCCCCCGCUCAACGGGGGAAGGUCGCUGGAAACUGCGUUUCUUGAGGGCGGCAGAGGGAAGUGGAAUUGCUGGUGUAGCGGUGAAAUGCGUAGAGAUCAGCAGGAACACCCGUGGCGAAGGCGGCUUCCUGGGCCGCGCCUGACGCUGAGACGCGAAAGCGUGGGGAGCGAACGGG